rfam:TPA: Bos taurus chromosome X, whole genome shotgun sequence.
UCCCUGAUAGCUCAGUUGGUAAAGAAUCUACUUGCAAUGCAGGAGACUCAGGUUCGAUUCCUGGGUCGGGAA